GCUGAAAUCAAGUCACCCUGUGUGAAAGCAACAACUUGUUGUUUGAUGCUGCUGCUGCUGCUGCUGCUGCUGAUGGUCAAUGCGUGUCUGUUAGUUGAUUUCUGUCUGUCCGUCCGUCCGUAUGUCUGUCAGUUCGGGGUCGGACUGUCGCAUCAUACCGCCCCCGCAUGGCUACAAAAAUAGCAAAUUGUUAAUUUCGCUUCAGAAACUCUUUUCCAAUACACAACGACACACACAUACAAACAUACAUAUAUGCAUACUAAGUGUAUGUAUGUGUGUAUGUAGACAGACACGCUGGAUGGAUGAAUGGUUGGAUGGAAGACGCAGCAGCAUGAGGGGCAGAGUAUUACGUGGUCGCAUCCCACCCAACUAAUCGCAACUCGGCCCAAUAAGAAGAAAUAAUUUAUUUUUGGCCCAUUUUUUGUGCGUCGUCAGCGGCAAAUUCUUUUUGUUUUUUUCGUUUUUUUUUUUUUUUCGAAAACAAUAUCUAUUUUUAAAGCUUCUGUGCGUUAAUACCAUGUUUCUGAAAAUAUCUAUUUGAACGCAAAACAUACAUAAAUUUAAUAAAAAUUGAAAGAAAUGCCCGCCACGAAUCCAUAGGCAAACAGAUGGAUGGACGGACGGACAGACAAAUUACCAAAGAGAUGGCUAUAAACACCAGCGGAAGAAA